UGAACUGUUGACUAGUUGAGAUCUCUCUUCUUCGAAACUCUCGAGGGAAAGGGAUCGAAGCCCGUUGGGCUUUGCAGGCCAGGGCCGUCACCGCUUAUGCGGUGUAGGUUCAACGUUUUGGUGGCUGGUGAAACACUUCAGGUUUACUAGGUAUUAUC
rnacentral:misc_RNA from 1 species